rnacentral:rRNA from 1 species
AUUGAACGCUGGCGGCAGGCCUAACACAUGCAAGUCGCACGAGUGGCGGACGGGUGAGUAAUGUCUGGGAAACUGCCUGAUGGAGGGGGAUAACUACUGGAAACGGUAGCUAAUACCGCAUACCAUCGGAUGUGCCCAGAUGGGAUUGGCUUGUAGGUGAGGUAACGGCUCACCUAGGCGACGAUCCCUAGCUGGUCGGAGAGGAUGACCAGCCACACUGGAACUGAGACACGGGGCAGAAUCCUACGGGAGGCAGCAGUGGGGAAUAUUGCACAAUGGGCGCAAGACUGAUGCAGCCAUGCCGCGUGUAUGAAGAAGGCCUUCGGGUUGUAAAGUACUUUCAGCGGGGAGGCGUUACCCGCAGAAGAAGCAACGGCUAACUCCGUGCCAGCAGCCGCGGUAAUUC